UUAAGGUCAGACCCAGGCAGUGGGUGGCCCUGAGUGACCAAACUGUCACUUGACCCAACAUUCACACUGCUAUUUUCAGUCCUGCAGUAGGCCCUGAAGCUAAGGGAUUGAAGGCAAAGGGGUAUCCUCUUUCAGCACUGAGAGACAAGAGGAAAAGACUCAAGGAGCUGUGGCUUAAGGUUGUGGAUUGAACUGAUGGAACUGGAUCUUGACCUGUUGAUGGCUUUGCAGAUGAAGAUCAAGGCCUUCAUCUGACAAUGGAAGUGGGGCUGGAGCAAGUGGAGGGAUUUGAGCACAGAGAUGAUGUGUUCACAGCAGCCAGUCCUGCUGAGGAGAUACACCGUUUUCCAGAAUAUGGUCCCCCAUGCUGUAGACAUGGCCUGCAUUCUUUGUUCCCAGAUGGAAAAUUUUGCAUUUGGCUGAAUCGUUUGACUGGACACAGCUCACCAAGUGAUUCAUAUUGUUUAUGACUCACCCUGACCUCAUCACUAUGUACCCCUUUCCUAAGCUUUGUUAAACUGUACAUUUUAUCAGCAUGAUUUUAUAUUUACUCCUAUAUCACUGAUGAAAUAUUGUAUAGCGUCAGUCCUAGUACUGCACCCUGUGGAACCCCACUAGAAACACUUCUUUUUAUGAUGUUUCUCCAUUGACAACUACUUUAAGAUCUGUCACUAAGCCAGUUCUUAAUCCAUUUAACGUGCAUUUUAUUGAUAUUGUCUAGUGUUAGUUUUGUAAUCAGAAGGUCAUGCAGUACUAAAUCAAACUCCUUACAAAGGUCUAAAGUAUAUUAUAUCUAUGCAGUUAUCUUUAUCAACCAAAGUUGUAAAUAUGUGAAAGAAUGAAAUCAGGGUUGUUUGACUGACCUAUUUUCCAUAAAACCACUCUGACAGGCAUGUUCAUUGAAGGUAUGCAAGUGUAAAACAGCAGAAUUUGGCCCACUCUAGGUUCCAGUUAAAAUA